rnacentral:rRNA from 1 species
GACGAACGCUGGCGGCGUGCUUAACACAUGCAAGUCGAACGGAAAGGCCCUGCUUUUGUGGGGUGCUCGAGUGGCGAACGGGUGAGUAACACGUGAGUAACCUGCCCUUGACUUUGGGAUAACUUCAGGAAACUGGGGCUAAUACCGGAUAGGAGCUCCUGCUGCAUGGUGUGGGUUGGAAAGUUUCGGCGGUUGGGGAUGGACUCGCGGCUUAUCAGCUUGUUGGUGGGGUGGCUUACCAAGGCUUUGACGGGUAGCCGGCCUGAGAGGGUGACCGGCCACAUUGGGACUGAGGUACGGACCAGACUCCUACGGGAGGCAGCAGUGGGGAAUAUUGCACAAUGGGCGGAAGCCUGAUGCAGCAGCGCCGCGUGCGGGAUGACGGCCUUCGGGUUGUAAACCGCUUUCGCCUGUGACGAAGCGUGAGUGACGGUAAUGGGUAAAGAAGCACCGGCUAACUACGUG